rnacentral:rRNA from 1 species
UACGUAGGGUGCAAGCGUUAAUCGGAAUCACUGGGCGUAAAGGGUGCGUAGGCGGGUCUUUAAGUCAGGGGUGAAAUCCUGGAGCUCAACUCCAGAACUGCCUUUGAUACUGAAGAUCUUGAGUUCGGGAGAGGUGAGUGGAAUUCCCGAGUGUAGCGGUGAAAUGCGUAGAUAUUGGGAGGAACACCAGUGGCGAAGGCGGCUCACUGGACCGGAACUGACGCUGAGGCGCGAAAGCGUGGGGAGCAACAGG